rnacentral:rRNA from 1 species
AUUGAACGCUGGCGGCAGGCCUAACACAUGCAAGUCGAGCGGAUGAAGGGAGCUUGCUCCUGGAUUCAGCGGCGGACGGGUGAGUAAUUCCUAGGAAUCUGCCUGGUAGUUGGGGAUAACGUCCGGAAACGGGCGCUAAUACCGCAUACGUCCUGAGGGUGAAAGUGGUGGAUCUUCGGACCUCACGCUAUCAGAUGAGCCUAGGCCGGAUUAGCUAGUUGGUGAGGUAAAGGCCUACCAAGGCGACGAUCCGUAACUGGUCUGAGAGGAUGAUCAGCCACACUGGAACUGAGACACGGUCCAGACUCCUACGGGAGGCAGCAGUAGGGAAUCUUGCACAAUGGGCGAAAGCCUGACGGAGCAACGCCGCGUGAGUGAUGAAGGUCUUCGGAUCGUAAAGCACUGUUAGUAGGGAAGAAGAGAUGUGUAAGAAACCCUGCCUAUCUUGACGGUACCUAAACAGAAAGCCACGGCUAACUACGUG